CCUACGGGAUGCACCAGCGGGGAAUAUUGCACAAUGGGCGCAAGCCUGAUGCAGCCAUGCCGCGUGUAUGAAGAAGGCCUUCGGGUUGUAAAGUACUUUCAGCGGGGAGGAAGGUGUUGAGGUUAAUAACCUCAGCAAUUGACGUUACCCGCAGAAGAAGCACCGGCUAACUCCGUGCCAGCAGCCGCGGUAAUACGGAGGGUGCAAGCGUUAAUCGGAAUUACUGGGCGUAAAGCGCACGCAGGCGGUCUGUCAAGUCGAAUGUGAAAUCCCCGGGCUCAACCUGGGAACCGCAUUCGAAACUGGCAGGCUAGAGUCUUGUAGAGGGGGGUAGAAUUCCAGGUGUAGCGGUGGAAUGCGUAGAGAUCUGGAGGAAUACCGGUGGCGGAGGCGGCCCCCUGGACAAAGACUGACGCUCAGGUGCGAAAGCGUGGGGAGCAAACAGGAUUAGAUACCCUUGUAGUC
rnacentral:rRNA from 1 species